rnacentral:rRNA from 1 species
GAUGAACGCUGGCGGCGUGCCUAAUACAUGCAAGUCGAGCGAACAGACGAGGAGCUUGCUCCGCUGACGUUAGCGGCGGACGGGUGAGUAACACGUGGAUAACCUACCUAUAAGACUGGGAUAACUUCGGGAAACCGGAGCUAAUACCGGACAAUAUAUUGAACCGCAUGGUUCAAUAGUGAAAGACGGAUUUGCUGUCACUUAUAGAUGGAUCCGCGCCGGAUUAGCUAGUUGGUAAGGUAACGGCUUACCAAGGCAACGAUGCGUAGCUGACCUGAGAGGGUGAUCAGCCACACUGGAACUGAGACACGGUCCAGACUCCUACGGGAGGCAGCAGUAGGGAAUCUUCCGCAAUGGGCGAAAGCCUGACGGAGCAACGCCGCGUGAGUGAUGAAGGUCUUCGGAUCGUAAAACUCUGUUAGUAGGGAAGAACAAAUGUGUAAGUAACUAUGCACGUCUUGACGGUACCUAAUCAGAAAGCCACGGCUAACUACGUG